GAAGCACCGUAGCAGUAUUGCCGUAGCGGUGACCGUAGGCUAGGCUUUACUCGUUUACUCUGUUGAUGUAUUUACUGCUUACUAGCUUACUGUGCCAUACUGCCAUGUGGUUCUUUAUGCCAUUUUGUUGUUUAUCUUGGUUCUUUUUUUACCAGUUUUUAAAUUUUAAUGUUCAUUGUAUUUCCAAUGAUAACGGUAUUAUAGUAUGACGUUUAAAUUAAUAAUAAUUAACGCUGAUUUAAUAUUCUAGCUACUUGGUGUAAUUUGUUGUAUCACAUUUUUCACCAUCAUCAUCUGCAUCAUCAUUUAUGGAUUUUAGUCGUCAGUUUUCUGGAUUCAAUUGGAUUUAAUCACCCUGUUGUACAUCUACCUACAUAGAAAUCUGACCAUAUUGCGUCUAGGAACAUCCAUUUCGGUCAUUUUGCGGUAUCGCUUGUCCUGUCUGAACGAUGCUGCUUUACUGAUGCGGAUUAAGAAGCGUAACUAAACUGUAAUAUGGAUCUGUUUUCAAUUUUUUAAGUCUUCUAGGUAUAGAAUUUAAUAUAACAACUUAUCGUCGGCCUAAGUCUCAAAAGGCAUAUAUCCCAAGAUUACACAUUUUUCAUUAUAAGAAAAAAUCAUUUAAUAAAUUCACUUUACAAAAUGUAAGACAUUUUUUUCUGCCUUCAUUGCAGGGUUCAAAGUACUGGGCCCAACCCAUUAAAACCCACCGGGUUUUAAUGGGUUGGGCCCAGUAAAAAAACCCAGUAAAAAACCCAGAAAAAAACC